UACGUAGGGGGCAAGCGUUGUCCGGAUUCAUUGGGCGUAACGAGCGUGUAGGCGGCCAGGUAGGUCGGUUGUGAAAACUGGAGGCUCAACCUUCAGAGGUCGACCGAAACCAUCUGGCUAGAGUCCGGGAGAGGAGAGUGGAAUUCCUGGUGUAGCGGUGAAAUGCGCAGAUAUCAGGAAGAACACCCGUGGCGAAAGCGGCUCUCUGGAACGGUACUGACGCUGAGACGCGAAAGCGUGGGGAGCGAACAGG
rnacentral:rRNA from 1 species